GCAUUAAUGGGGUAGUGGUAACCUGGGUCGUUGCCAUUCGAGAGUGAUCAAUCUCGACCCGCCGGGGGUUCGAUUCCCUCUUAAUGCA